UCUAACCAGGGCCUGAUUUAGACCUGGGACACCAGGUGGGUGAUUCCCCUCUAACCAGGGCCUGAUUUAGACCUGGGACACCAGGUGGGUGAUUCCCCUCUAACCAGGGACUGAUUUAGACCUGGGACACCAGGUGGGUGAUUCCCCUCUAAUCAGGGACUGAUUUAGACCUGGGACACCAGGUGGGUGAUUCCCCUCUAACCAGGGACUGAUUUAGACCUGGGACACCAGGUGGGUGAUUCCCCUCUAAUCAGGGACUGAUUUAGACCUGGGACACCAGGUGGGUGAUUCCCCUCUAAUCAGGGACUGAUUUAGACCUGGGACACCAGGUGGGUGAUUCCCCUCUAAUCAGGGACUGAUUUAGACCUGGGACACCAGGUGGGUGAUUCCCCUCUAAUCAGGGACUGAUUUAGACCUGGGACACCAGGUGGGUGAUUCCCCUCUAAUCAGGGACUGAUUUAGACCUGGGACACCAGGUGGGUGAUUCCCCUCUAAUCAGGGACUGGUUUAGACCUGGGACACCAGGUGGGUGAUUCCCCUCUAAUCAGGGACUGAUUUAGACCUGGGACACCAGGUGGGUGAUUCCCCUCUAAUCAGGGACUGGUUUAGACCUGGGACACCAGGUGGGUGAUUCCCCUCUAAUCAGGGACUGAUUUAGACCUGGGACACCAGGUGGGUGAUUCCCCUCUAAUCAGGGACUGAUUUAGACCUGGGACACCAGGUGGGUGAUUCCCCUCUAAUCAGGGACUGAUUUAGACCUGGGACACCAGGUGGGUGAUUCCCCUCUAAUCAGGGACUGAUUUAGACCUGGGACACCAGGUGGGUGAUUCCCCUCUAAUCAGGGACUGAUUUAGACCUGGGACACCAGGUGGGUGAUUCCCCUCUAAUCAGGGACUGAUUUAGACCUGAGA